rnacentral:rRNA from 1 species
UACGGGGGGAGCAAGCGUUGUUCGGAUUUACUGGGCGUAAAGGGCGCGUAGGCGGCCACCGCAAGUCGGUUGUGAAAUCUCUGGGCUUAACCCAGAAAGGUCAACCGAUACUGCGGGGCUAGAGUGCAGAAGGGGCAACUGGAAUUCUCGGUGUAGCGGUGAAAUGCGUAGAUAUCGGGAGGAAUACCGAUGGCGAAGGCAGGUCUCUGGGCUGACACUGACGCUCAUGCACGAAAGCGUGGGGAGCAAACAGG